rnacentral:rRNA from 1 species
AUGCAGUCGAGCGCGAAUAGGGGCAACCCUUAGUAGAGCGGCGCACGGGUGCGUAACACGUGGAUAAUCUGCCUGGAUGCCCGGGAUAACCAGUCGAAAGAUUGGCUAAUACCGGAUAAGCCCACGGUUUCUUCGGAGACUGAGGGAAAAGGUGGCCUCUGUAUACAAGCUAUCACAACCAGAUGAGUCCGCGGCCCAUCAGCUAGUUGGCGGGGUAAUGGCCCACCAAGGCGACGACGGGUAGCUGGUCUGAGAGGACGAUCAGCCACACUGGAACUGAGACACGGUCCAGACUCCUACGGGAGGCAGCAGUGGGGAAUUUUGCGCAAUGGGCGAAAGCCUGACGCAGCAACGCCGCGUGUGUGAUGAAGGUCUUCGGAUUGUAAAGCACUUUCGACCGGGACGAAAACCCGUAGCCUAACAUGCUACGGCUUGACGGUACCGGGAGAAGAAGCACCGGCUAACUCUGUGCCAGCAGCCGCGGUAAUACAGAGGGUGCAAGCGUUGUUCGGAAUUAUUGGGCGUAAAGCGCGUGUAGGCGGCGUGACAAGUCGGGUGUGAAAGCCCUCAGCUCAACUGAGGA